rnacentral:tRNA from 1 species
GGGCGGGUAGCCUAGCAAGGAUAGGGCGCAAGCCUCCUAAGCUUGUGAUCGUGGGUUCAAAUCCCACCCCGCCCGCCA